AUUGAACGCUGGCGGAAUGCUUUACACAUGCAAGUCGAACGGCAGCACGGACUUCGGUCUGGUGGCGAGUGGCGAACGGGUGAGUAACAUAUCGGAACGUAUCCAAUAAUGGGGGAUAACUAAUCGAAAGGUUGGCUAAUACCGCAUACGCCCUACGGGGGAAAGCAGGGGAUCUUCGGACCUUGCGUUAAUGGAGCGGCUGAUAUCUGAUUAGCUAGUUGGUGAGGUAAAGGCUCACCAAGGCGACGAUCAGUAGCUGGUCUGAGAGGACGACCAGCCACACUGGAACUGAGACACGGUCCAGACUCCUACGGGAGGCAGCAGUGGGGAAUUUUGGACAAUGGGCGCAAGCCUGAUCCAGCCAUUCCGCGUGAGUGAAGAAGGCCUUCGGGUUGUAAAGCUCUUUCGCAAGGGAAGGAAACUUACUUUCUAAUAAAGAGUGAGGUUGACGGUACCUUGAUAAGAAGCACCGGCUAACUACGUGCCAGCCGCCGCCGUAA
rnacentral:rRNA from 1 species